rnacentral:rRNA from 1 species
CCUACGGGAGGCAGCAGUGGGGAAUAUUGCACAAUGGGCGAAAGCCUGAUGCAGCAACGCCGCGUGAAGGAAGACGGUUUUCGGAUUGUAAACUUCUAUCAAUAGGGAAGAAAGAAAUGACGGUACCUAAAUAAGAAGCCCCGGCUAACUACGUGCCAGCAGCCGCGGUAAUACGUAGGGGGCAAGCGUUAUCCGGAUUUACUGGGUGUAAAGGGCGUGUAGCCGGGAAGGCAAGUCAGAUGUGAAAUCCGGAGGCUCAACCUCCGAAUUGCAUUUGAAACUGUUUUUCUUGAGUACUGGAGAGGCAGACGGAAUUCCUUGUGUAGCGGUGAAAUGCGUAGAUAUAAGGAGGAACACCAGUGGCGAAGGCGGUCUGCUGGACAGCAACUGACGGUGAGGCGCGAAAGCGUGGGGAGCAAACAGGAUUAGAUACCCCAGUAGUC